rnacentral:rRNA from 1 species
UACGUAGGGUGCAAGCGUUAAUCGGAAUUACUGGGCGUAAAGCGUGCGCAGGCGGUUGUGUAAGACAGAUGUGAAAUCCCCGGGCUCAACCUGGGAACUGCAUUUGUGACUGCACAGCUGGAGUGCGGCAGAGGGGGAUGGAAUUCCUGGUGUAGCAGUGAAAUGCGUAGAUAUCAGGAGGAAUACCGAUGGCGAAGGCAGGUCUCUGGGCUGACACUGACGCUCAUGCACGAAAGCGUGGGGAGCAAACAGG